UCAAAUAUCCCAUCUGUACUGGAGGCAAUGCUAUCCAGUGGCUAUCUAAUGCAGCCUUGUCUAACAGAAAUAGAAUGUAAGCCAAAUAUGUAAUUUACAAUUAUUUAUUGGUUACAUUAAAACACAGUAAAAAGAAACAGUGAAAUAGUUUUAAUAAUAAAUUCCUAUGGGGGGAGAGAGAGAGCUUGCUUGUGUGCACAUUCCUGCAUAUAUUGGGGCAUUAUCCCUGGUCCCCUGGGGAGGCAGCCAGGAUCUUCAAAGUCAGUGUAACUCUGGCUUCCUAUUGGGACUCUCUAAAUCUCUGGGUUGCCUAAAGACCACCAAGACCCAGAAAGCCAAGAAUACCUUUUUGGGAGCACUGAGUUGGAAUCUGACAGUGGUUGUAUGGGGCAAGGGAAAGUGGAAGUGACAGCUGCCUUUGGGAAGAGGAAGAGGAAGGACAAGAAACAAAAACAAAAAUCCCCCAGAAAACCCUCCUGUCUCCUGUCGGGAGCCAUAGACUUUGACAACAACUUCCCUGCAGAUCCCACGGAAUGGGAGCAACAGAAUACCUUUCCACUGAGCCUUGCAAAAGGUGUCAGAGACCUCAGGGCUCCUUGGAAAAGACAGGUGACACUACAUCGGGGUGAUGGCAAAAGCGCUUGAACUCCUCCCAGUAAAUGGACAGCAGCGUGGAAGAAUAGAAGCUGCCCAUUUCAGAGGUUUGGAGCAUGAGGCAGGCAUUGAUCAUAGCCCAGGACUCCAUCAGAUUCAGGAGCCACAGCUGCCCUUACUCUCAUGCCCCUUUGUUUCUUCUCUGGAUCUGCCACCUUCACUUCCCUGUUUCUGCUGGUGUUACAGGCACCUGAGCCUUACUCUACAAAAGAUUAUGGUCCUGGACUGACCUGGGGGCUCACUUCUGCCUGUUCUGAGUGGACAGAGAAGGGAUGCGCUUCCCGUUGCUGGGCUUGACACUAUCCUACUUUGUGUUCUGGGAGCCGGAGCAUGGCACACAUGUCCCUUUCUGUGGAUAAUGGGCAGACAGGUCACAUAUCAGAAAUGUGGCCAAACUGUGAGAUUAGUUCCAUUAUUACGUUUCACUUAACCCUGUGAAGCAUGGGUUACUGUUAUCUGCGGGUCAGAGAUGAAUAAAGCCCAAAGCGGUUACUAUUUUCUCAAUGUUACCCUAUGGAGGAACUAGAACUUGAAUCCCCACCUAUCUGAUGCUGAAAUUUGUAUUUUUGUCACCAAACUUUACAAGUCCACUAUGUCUUAUCUGAAACACUCAGGUGGGGGAAAGUAUGGAAGAGUGGGACAUAGUCUUUGGUGAUAGUUUCCUCUCUAAUUCCCUCUGCAGAGGAUAGUUACAUUUAUAAGGGUGUGCUUCAUGCUCUCUAGUUAUAAGAUGCUCUCUUUGCAUCUCCGGGCCAAAAGAUGGGUGAUGGGAAGUUGGAGAUGCAGCCGUGCAAACAUGACGACAAGAGUGUCAGAAACUGCAGCUCUGUUGCUCAUUUCAAUCGCUGGCAGAGGAGUAUCGUAGUGAGAAGUGUGUGUGUGUGUGUGUGUGUGUGUGUGUGUCGUGGAGGAGGACACUUUGAGCAUCAUUGUCUUGGGACAUUGGUAGUUUGCAAUUAAUGAACAGUUCUUUCACCUUUCAUCUGUUCUCAAUUGAACUUUCCAGUAAAUAUAUCAUAAUUACCAGAGCAAGUGUUUAUAGAAGCAGCAGCCUCUAGGUGAGGCAAUUUUUAUGGAAUCACCCAUAAUUUAAUGAAAGCUGUUUCUGGGAUAAUGUUGAAGCUCUAAACCUGCAUAUAGAUAUGCAUAUGCUCUUAGAGCAGGUGCAUGAAUAAACAUGCAUAUGUAUACACUCAUGCUUACACACAUGGAGGCAGACCUGCACACAUGUUGGAGCACAGAAUCCACAUGUGUUCAUUUGCUAGAUACAAACUCAUGUGCUCACAUACAUGCACACAAAUAUAUACACAUGCAUUAUACAGGUAUGCAUAUGUAUUCAUGCCUAUAUGCAGGCAUGUCCAAAUACUCAUGCACAUGCAUUUACAGUAUGCAUACAAUAUUCACAAUUAUGUGGACAUAGCUGCAUAUAUUCAUACUCACAUUGAAAUACAAUUGAUUGCACAUGUACACAUGCUCUCCCAAAAUGCAUAUGGGUCCAUAUACAUCCUCACAUGCACAUGCAUAUAUGCAUGUGCAAUUAAACACUGGCCUUUGCAUUCAUUCACAGACAGGCACCAUGUAACAAGUGAAAUGUGGUACUGGUGGGGUUAAUGGAGGCCCCAGACUCCCAUAAAUAUUAAUAUGAAGCACUCAAGCUCUCAAAGUGGGAGACAAAACCUCUUCCCACAAGGCCUUGUAAAUCAUGCAGCUGCUGCGUGUUACCUGUCAGAUCCAGGGCUGUGCAGUCCAGCAUUUCCUCCAUAAGGGCGGCCACAUACGUGCUGGAGCACACGGCACUGUCCGUGCCUAGCCAGGCAUGCCAGCAAAUGUGCCAAGGUCGGUCCCCACUCCUCGGAUUUGUGAGCAGCAAAAGCAAGUAUUUCAAUGCUGCCGCCGCUGCUACUACAAGUGCAGGACUGGAGGAAUGAAAAGGCAUUUUGUGAAUAUCUGGGACUUGGUUUCUCAAGUAAAGACAGAUGUUAUUCUGUUGUUAUCCUGGAGGGACACCAUGUGGGGACCUUGGUGAGAAGGUGGGUGCAAAAACGAUGUAGGGGUCCUGGGCUGAGUCCAGGUUUGGUGCAGUAGGGACUCCAGCCUCUGGUGAUGCUCUCACCCAAAAAAAUUUUGGGUCCCAGGAGCCUCCUGAAUCCCAGUUCUCCACGGUGCUAUAACCCUUUAUUUAGUGAAUACUCUGUUUCUAGUCCUGCCACCUAAAACCAUUCAGUGGAUCAUUGAACAAAUUGUUUGCCUUUCAUGUGCCAGACACUGUGCUAGGUGCUGGCAAUAUAGAAAUGAACCAAAACAGAAACAAUGGAGUUUACAAUCUAUUAGGAGAGAGAGACAUCAGUAAGAUAUUGUACUAAUGAGCAUACAAUUCCUUCCUCCUUCUCGUCCUCCUUCUUCAAUAGAGUCUCUGUCAUCUAGGCUGGAAUGCAGUGACCAUAGUUCACUGCAGCCUCAAGCUCUUGAACUCAAGUGAUCCUCCCACUUCAGCCUCCUGAGUGGCUGGGACUUAGGUACAAGCCACCAAGCACAGCCAUGAGUGUGCAAUUUCAAAAAGAGAUAACUGAUAUGAAGAAAAGCCACCUGGCUCUCUGAGAGCAUGCAUAGGGCAGUGGAGCUGAUGAAUGGGUAAGAGUGAUCAGAAAAGGCUUCCUGGAGGAAGUGAUGUUUGAGCUGUUAAAGUCUGAAUAAGAGUUAAACAAGUCAAAGAAGGAGGGGAAGAACAUUUGAGAUCAGUGUCACCUGAUAAAACUUUCUGUGAUGAGAAAAAUUUUCUUAUCUGUGCUAUCCAAUAAGAUAGCCACUAGCUGCAAGUGGCUAUUAAACCUUUGAAAUAUGGCUUAUGCAGCUGAGAAUCUGAAUUUUAAACUUCAUUUAGUUUUAAUUGCAUUUAAAAUAAGUGACCAGGAUCUCUAUCUCCUCGGAUUUUCUCUCCCUCUACUUUCUUGCCUUGCUCACUCUGUUCCAGCCACACUGACCACCUGUCUGUUUCUGGGAGAGGCUGGUUAGGGUUCCUCUUUAGGCAAUUUGUUGAAGCUAUUCCUUCUGCCCGAACCACUCUUCUCCCAGAUAAACCUGUAGUGAAAUUACUCAGCUCCCUCAAGUUCUUGCUGAAAUCUCACCUCCUUUAUAAGGCUUAUUCUGACCACCCCAUUAAAUCUGGGAACCUGACUCCUUCUCCUUCUCUGAGCAUCGCUGACCUGGCUUAUUUUUCUUUUAUAUUUCUUUUCUUGUAUUUUUUUUUCUUUAUUUCUUUUCUUACAGCACUAAUCACUUUAGAAUUUAUCAGAUUAUUAUUCACUUCUUGCCUAUUUUCUGAUUCUGUCUGCCAGCAUAUAAGCUUUGUGAGAUCAGUGUCUGAUGACUGUUUUGUUUACUGAUGUUCCUGAGAACCAUGAAUCAUGCCUUAGUAGGACCAUAACAACCCAAUAAUUGGUUGAAUGAACAUGUGUUGUGUAAAAUGUGCUUAAAGAGGAAAGGGUAAUAUCUGUGAAAGCAUGGGUUUGAGGUCCUGGCUCACCCUAUCAAUCAAUCAUUAAUUUAUCUGUCAAUCAUAUCAUCUAUCUGUCAAUCACUAUCUACCUAUUAUCUGUCAUUCACAUCUAUCAUCUAUCAAUCAUCUAUUUCAAUCACAUCUGUCAAUCAUAUCUAUCAAUUAUCUGUUAAUCAUUAUCUACCCAUUAUCUAUCUGUCAUUCAUAUAUCACGUAUCUGUCAAUCACAUCUACCUAUCUGUUAUAAUCUAUCUCCGUGUUUUUUGGUACUCUAAAAAAUACAUACUGCUAAAAUUGUUUUUAAAGCUUAUUUGUAUGGCACCAUCUAGAAUCUUGUAUACCAUUAGUGGUGCACUUGGGGACACAUUGUGGUGUCUGUGGAGAGAAAGAAGAAGCUGACAUCUGAUACGAGAGGAAGAGGAAAUUUGGACACAAAUAGGCACUGAAGAUCGUGUGAAGGCACAGGGAGGAGGUGGCCUUCGGCAAGCCAAGGAGAGAAGCCUCAGAAGACACCAACCCUGCCAAUGCCGUGACCUCAGACUCCAGCCCCCAGAACUUUGCCUGGGAUAGAACCUCCAGAACAAUGCCUAGUUGAAGUGGCUGCCAAGUUCAGGAAACUAAUACAGAUGGCUUCACUAGACCUUCAGGACUUGGCCUUUCCUUCCCUCCAUCCCUACUGCCUGAUGUUCAGUAGGUCUUCAUCUCUGGUUCACACACCUGUAUGUGCUGAUCUCACCACCUAGAACACUCUUCUGGUCUCCACUGGACCUGAGAGGUGUGACGUGCCAGACCAGUUUGCAGAUUCCAUAGAGUCUUCUCUGUUUAUUCAUCUAUGACAUGGGGAUAAUGUGAGUAUACCUACAUUAGAAGGCUGCUAUGAAGACUUAAUCAGGUAACACAGCUAAAGAAUUUGUGCAAAUUCCUGGUACGUUUUAAAUUAUAGUUAACAAAACAAGUAGCACCACUUUUUAAAAAAUCAACUUUUAUUUUAGAUACAGGGGAUACAUGUGUACAUUUGUUAUUUGGGGAUACUGUGUGAUGCUGAGGUUUGGAGUACAGAUCUCGUCACCCGGGUAGUGAGCAGAGUAUCCAAUAGGUACUUUUUAAAACUCCCCAUCCCCCUGCUCCUUUCACUCUCUAAUGGUCCACAAUGUCUACUGUUCUUAUAUUUACAAUAUGUCUAUAUGUGCUCAAUGUUUAGCUUCCACUUAUA